rnacentral:rRNA from 1 species
GACGAACGCUGGCGGCGUGCUUAACACAUGCAAGUCGAACGGAAAGGCCCUGCUUUUGUGGGGUGCCCGAGUGGCGAACGGGUGAGUAACACGUGAGUAACCUGCCCUUGACUUUGGGAUAACUUCAGGAAACUGGGGCUAAUACCGGAUAGGAGCUCCUGCUGCAUGGUGGGGGUUGGAAAGUUUCGACGGUCGGGGAUGGACUCGCGGCUUAUCAGCUUGUUGGUGGGGUAGUGGCUUACCAAGGCUUUGACGGGUAGCCGGCCUGAGAGGGUGACCGGCCACAUUGGGACUGAGAUACGGCCCAGACUCCUACGGGAGGCAGCAGUGGGGAAUAUUGCACAAUGGGCGGAAGCCUGAUGCAGCAACGCCGCGUGCGGGAUGACGGCCUUCGGGUUGUAAACCGCUUUCGCCUGUGACGAAGCGUGAGUGACGGUAAUGGGUAAAGAAGCACCGGCUAACUACGUG